rnacentral:rRNA from 1 species
GGAGCGUUCUGUAAGCCUGCGAAGGUGUGCUGUGAGGCAUGCUGGAGGUAUCAGAAGUGCGAAUGCUGACAUAAGUAACGAUAAAGCGGGUGAAAAGCCCGCUCGCCGGAAGACCAAGGGUUCCUGUCCAACGUUAAUCGGGGCAGGGUGAGUCGACCCCUAAGGCGAGGCCGAAAGGCGUAGUCGAUGGGAAACAGGUUAAUAUUCCUGUACUUGGUGUUACUGCGAAGGGGGGACGGAGAAGGCUAUGUUGGCCGGGCGACGGUUGUCCCGGUUUAAGCGUGUAGGCUGGUUUUCCAGGCAAAUCCGGAAAAUCAAGGCUGAGGCGUGAUGACGAGGCACUACGGUGCUGAAGCAACAAAUGCCCUGCUUCCAGGAAAAGCCUCUAAGCAUCAGGUAACAUCAAAUCGUACCCCAAACCGACACAGGUGGUCAGGUAGAGAAUACCAAGGCGCUUGAGAGAACUCGGGUGAAGGAACUAGGCAAAAUGGUGCCGUAACUUCGGGAGAAGGCACGCUGAUAUGUAGGUGAAGUCCCUUGCGGAUGGAGCUGAAAUCAGUCGAAGAUACCAGCUGGCUGCAACUGUUUAUUAAAAACACAGCACUGUGCAAACACGAAAGUGGACGUAUACGGUGUGACGCCUGCCCGGUGCCGGAAGGUUAAUUGAUGGGGUCAGCGCAAGCGAAGCUCUUGAUCGAAGCCCCGGUAAACGGCGGCCGUAACUAUAACGGUCCUAAGGUAGCGAAAUUCCUUGUCGGGUAAGUUCCGACCUGCACGAAUGGCGUAAUGAUGGCCAGGCUGUCUCCACCCGAGACUCAGUGAAAUUGAACUCGCUGUGAAGAUGCAGUGUACCCGCGGCAAGACGGAAAGACCCCGUGAACCUUUACUAUAGCUUGACACUGAACAUUGAGCCUUGAUGUGUAGGAUAGGUGGGAGGCUUUGAAGUGUGGACGCCAGUCUGCAUGGAGCCGGCCUUGAAAUACCACCCUUUAAUGUUUGAUGUUCUAACGUGGACCCGUGAUCCGGGUUGCGGACAGUGUCUGGUGGGUAGUUUGACUGGGGCGGUCUCCUCCUAAAGAGUAACGGAGGAGCACGAAGGUUGGCUAAUCCUGGUCGGACAUCAGGAGGUUAGUGCAAUGGCAUAAGCCAGCUUGACUGCGAGCGUGACGGCGCGAGCAGGUGCGAAAGCAGGUCAUAGUGAUCCGGUGGUUCUGAAUGGAAGGGCCAUCGCUCAACGGAUAAAAGGUACUCCGGGGAUAACAGGCUGAUACCGCCCAAGAGUUCAUAUCGACGGCGGUGUUUGGCACCUCGAUGUCGGCUCAUCACAUCCUGGGGCUGAAGUAGGUCCCAAGGGUAUGGCUGUUCGCCAUUUAAAGUGGUACGCGAGCUGGGUUUAGAACGUCGUGAGACAGUUCGGUCCCUAUCUGCCGUGGGCGCUGGAGAACUGAGGGGGGCUGCUCCUAGUACGAGAGGACCGGAGUGGACGCAUCACUGGUGUUCGGGUUGUCAUGCCAAUGGCAC